rnacentral:tRNA from 1 species
GAUAGCGUGGCCGAGCGGUCCAUGCGCUGGAUUUAGGCUUCGGAGGCGUGGGUUCGAAUCCCACCGCUGCCA